GACUCUCGACAACGGAUAUCUUGGCUCUCGCAUCGAUGAAGAACGUAGCGAAAUGCGAUAUGUGUUGUGAAUUGUAGAAUCCCGUGAACCAUCCAUUCUUUGAACGCAAGUUGCGCCCGAGGAUGCAAGCCGAGGGCACGCCUGCAUGGGUGCAAUGCGAUACGUCGCUCCUUGCA
rnacentral:rRNA from 1 species